GCGGUCGCUUCGGCAGCACAUAUACUAAAACUGGAACAAUCCAGAAAAUGUUAGCAUGGCCCCUGUACAAGGAUGACAUAUAAAUUCAUAAAGUGUUAAAUAAAAAA